AGAGUUUGAUCAUGGCUCAGAUUGAACGCUGGCGGCAUGCCUUACACAUGCAAGUCGAACGGCAGCACGGGAGCUUGCUCCUGGUGGCGAGUGGCGAACGGGUGAGUAAUAUAUCGGAACGUACCCUAGAGUGGGGGAUAACGUAGCGAAAGUUACGCUAAUACCGCAUACGAUCUACGGAUGAAAGUGGGGGAUCGCAAGACCUCAUGCUCAUGGAGCGGCCGAUAUCUGAUUAGCUAGUUGGUGGGGUAAAAGCUCACCAAGGCGACGAUCAGUAGCUGGUCUGAGAGGACGACCAGCCACACUGGAACUGAGACACGGUCCAGACUCCUACGGGAGGCAGCAGUGGGGAAUUUUGGACAAUGGGCGCAAGCCUGAUCCAGCAAUGCCGCGUGAGUGAAGAAGGCCUUCGGGUUGUAAAGCUCUUUUGUCAGGGAAGAAACGGUUCGGGCUAAUAUCCUGGGCUAAUGACGGUACCUGAAGAAUAAGCACCGGCUAACUACGUGCCAGCAGCCGCGGUAAUACGUACGGUGCAAGCGUUAAUCGGAAUUACUGGGCGUAAAGCGUGCGCAGGCGGUUGUGCAAGACAGAUGUGAAAUCCCCGGGCUCAACCUGGGAAUUGCAUUUGUGACUGCACGGCUAGAGUGUGUCAGAGGGGGGUAGAAUUCCACGUGUAGCAGUGAAAUGCGUAGAGAUGUGGAGGAAUACCGAUGGUGAAGGCAGCCCCCUGGGAUAACACUGACGCUCAUGCACGAAAGCGUGGGGAGCAAACAGGAUUAGAUACCCUGGUAGUCCACGCCCUAAACGAUGUCUACUAGUUGUCGGGUCUUAAUUGACUUGGUAACGCAGCUAACGCGUGAAGUAGACCGCCUGGGGAGUACGGUCGCAAGAUUAAAACUCAAAGGAAUUGACGGGGACCCGCACAAGCGGUGGAUGAUGUGGAUUAAUUCGAUGCAGCGCGAAAAACCUUACCUACCCUUGACAUGUCUGGAAUCCUUGAGAGAUCAGGGAGUGCUCGAAAGAGAAUCAGAACACAGGUGCUGCAUGGCUGUCGUCAGCUCGUGUCGUGAGAUGUUGGGUUAAGUCCCGCAACGAGCGCAACCCUUGUCAUUAGUUGCUACGAAAGGGCACCCUAAUGAGACUGCCGGUGACAAACCGGAGGAAGGUGGGGAUGACGUCAAGUCCUCAUGGCCCUUAUGGGUAGGGCUUCACACGUCAUACAAUGGUACAUACAGAGGGCCGCCAACCCGCGAGGGGGAGCUAAUCCCAGAAAGUGUAUCGUAGUCCGGAUUGUAGUCUGCAACUCGACUACAUGAAGUUGGAAUCGCUAGUAAUCGCGGAUCAGCAUGUCGCGGUGAAUACGUUCCCGGGUCUUGUACACACCGCCCGUCACACCAUGGGAGCGGGUUUCACCAGAAGUGGGUAGCCUAACUGCAAGGAGGGCGCUCACCA
rnacentral:rRNA from 1 species